GAGGUAACAGUUGGUAAGAGUUGGACCUGGAACUAGGCGAGGGUUAAAAAGAAAUCGGCCUCGGAAGGCCGGCCCGGAGAUUGGAGAACGGGGAGCUGAUGAUGCAGCAAAGCCAACCCCCCCUCCCGCCCUUCUUUCUUUACGCGGCAGUUUGGGGGCCACGUGGAGAGGCCGGACUAAUAGGGCUCACGCAGCCCGCUUGUGUGUGGCCGGAGCGAUUGGGGAGGGGGGGCGCUUCCUUCCACGUGUUGGGGCGCGCAGCUCCCACCGAGGAGAGCCGAGGUAGCGGCGGCUGAUACAUCCGGCCCUGCAGAGCCUCCUGAAAGGCGGAGGAGGAGCGCCCGCCGUCAAGCCCGGGCAGGGCGGUGCUUCCGAGGGCGCUCCGAUUGUCCGGGAUGGCCUCGUCGAGGGAAGGACGAAGUAGGGCUCGGAUCCCGCGCGGCCUACUCGAGCCUAUUAGCCGUACCGAGGUGGCGUCGCUUCUCCCUGAGUUUCUUUAAACGGGAGCGCGACGGGCUUUGGCAACGCGUGCUCGGGGAGGAAGGAAAAAAAAAUAAGAGGGAGGGAUUUCUUGCCUCCCGUCGGCGUUCAUCGGAUCCCCGGCUGCAAAAACUUGAAACGGCAGCCUCUCCGGAAUGGACUCACCGGACAAAGCUGCAUAAUCGCGACCGGGCUUUGCAAAUUCUUUGGAAAGGCUUCGACAGGCUAGAUCGCUCUUAAGUGCUCUUCUCGGGAAUAGUGAGGACGACAACCGACAUCGACUUUGAUUGCUUAUUUAACUCCCAUCGAUGCAUGUUAUUUCACACGUUGAAUAGUUAAGUCUGAAGACGGAUUCUCAUCAUUGGAAGGCUAUGAAUGCUACCUGGCUCUCUCUUCGGCUUCGCGAGAGCGAAUGCUGCCCGUAAUCUGCAUUCACAUUUUACUAAGUGCCCCCAAAUCCCUUGGGCAGUAUUCCGGUGGGGAUAGAACUGUAUGUUUAUGGCACAUAUUUUUUUUUAAAAGUCCUUGGGGUUAAAAAUAUUGCAUAAGCUUUAUUGUGACUAUAAGUAGCAGUGUUGUCUCCUAUACUUUCGUGUGAUCCAUAUAUUCUUAAGCGGUGCUUCUGCAUUAGAAUGGCAAAUAGUGUAGAACAUUAGCGUUUCCUAAGUAAAUUUCAAGUAAAGAUUCCUUCCAGAAAAUGGUGAGGAAAGAAAAUGGAACACUAAAAUGGGAAAUUUUUCCCCCUCAGGUGGUGCGCAUUCAAGCAUCCUGACCCUGCUUUCCAUCACAUUUUGUUUAGAACAAUGUCAUUUGUGAUGUUUUCUGCCAUUGUAAGGUACCAAUGUCCAUCCAACCCAUCAGAAAAUAAACAAUGCGUUUCAAAAGCAAACGGUAGAUCUUUCCAAGAAGAAAGUAAUAGAGGGAGCAACUCGAGGCUCCCAUGUAACACCACUCCUGCGCAAGCUGCACUAGCUUCCGGUGUUGGUUACCACCUUUAAAGCACUCCAACACCUUUAAAGCACUCCAAGGCAUAGGACCGGGUUAUUUACAGGACCGCCUGCUGCUACCAAUUGCCUCCCAUCGACCUGUGCGCUCCCAUAGGGACUGGCAACCCCUGGGGGAGGGCCUUCUCUGUGGGGGCUCCUGCCCUCUGGAACGAGCUGCCUCCAGGGACCUUCCGAAGCGAGCUAAAGACAUUUUUGUUUCAUCGUGCAGGGCUGGCUUAAUAUAGUUUUAAUGAGGGGGGGGUUAUUAAAGUUUUUAGUUUCUUAGCCAAAUUGAAUUAGUUUUUUUUUUUUAAAGUUUUUAAUUUUUGUGAUUCCUUGUUUUACUUGUCUGUAAACCACCCUUCAGGAGAAGGGCGGUAUAUAAAUUAAAAUAAUAAAAAUAAAUAAAUAAAUAAUGAAGCCCAGAGUGAUAGCAAACUGUACCCUUAAAUCUGUUGAGAGAAAUUGUGCAAAACGUGGUCCUUCCAGGAGAAAUUUGCCAUGCCUUGCUGACAGUUUUCUCCUUUGAAAGAUGUUAAGAGUAAGGCACAAUUGGAUCAGCUAUACUGGAUUUAGUGCUAAGAGGACAUAGCAAUAGCACUUAGACUCUCAUACUGCUUCACAGUGCUUUUACAGCCCUCUAAGCAGUUUACAGAGUCAGCCAAUUGCCCCCAACAAUUUGGUUCCUCAUUUUACCCACGUGGGAAAGAUGGAAGGCUGAGUCAACCUUGAGCCUGGUGAGAUUUGAACUGCAGCUAGCAGUCAGCUGAAGUAGCCUGCAGUACUGCACUCUAACCACUACACCACCUUGGCACCCUGCGCCUCAUGGAAGGAGCAGGAACAUUAUGGAACAGUCACUAUGUAAAUGCUGGAGUUCUUGAUUCGAAAAGAAUCCAAAACUAAGCACACAUCUUGGAAUGUUAAGAACUGGAUUUGUCCAAGUAUUUAUUAGAUUCCACAUGAAUCAGGUAAUAGGAAAGAAAGCUGAAGGCGGAUGAAAAUUUCUAAUGGAGAUUUUAUGAGUUGCAAAAAGUAAAAUGGGUGGUUGAUGCUGACUGUUGAUGCCAGAUUUUUUUUUUAAAGGACUUGUCAGAAAAUGCAAGAAUGCCAAGUCACAAUAUACAGUCAGGUAAUAUAGAACCGCAGAGCUCAUGUAAAUACAGUAAAAAUUAUCAGAAUGUGCUGAUGUUAGUAAAGAAUACUAAAAAUAACAAAGGGCUUCCUUCGAUACAUUCAAACUAAAAUAAAAUUGCUAUACCAACUCCUCAAUGAAAACAAAAUGUUUUAACAGGUUAGAAAUGACAAAGGCUAAUCAGUCUUUAACCAAAAAGUGUUUCAUCAUAAAAUUGUAAUAAAGGCCGGAACUGAAGUUUGCAACUGACAGAAAAAUGAUCAGAAAAUACUUGUUUACCUUAAUGAAUGUAAUUAUUUGGGAUCAGAAUUGCAUCAGUUUUAAUCACUAUAGAAUAUCUUUAAUGUGACAUAUCAGGCAAUUGGAGGAUAACUAGUAUCCCAGCCUUCAAAAGUAAGAUUCCCAGAUUAAAUCUUAGCUUAUUUUUGAUUGAGUAAUUUUCUUGAUAUUGGGACUAGGUGUAUCUUGAUUUCAACAAAGCCUCUGACAGAAUAUCCCAUGCUAUCUUGAUUAACAAACUAAUUAAGCACAGGUAGUCCUUGGCGUGCAUCCAUUGUUCAGCUAUUGUUUGAACUUGCAACUGUGCACUAAAUGAGUGGUACUUACGACCAGUCCUCACAGUUCCAACUGUUGCAGUGUCCCUGUGAUGGUGAUCUGAGUGCAUAGUGCCCGAUUUGCAGUUUAUGAUAUUGCAGUGAGCUGCUAUUACAUGAUUGUGAUUCCUGGUGUCCCCUGCUAGUUUCCCAUGAGCAGAAUCAGUGGGGAAGCUGGCAGGAAGUUGUAGUCAUGUGAGGUCUUUGCUUAAUGAUGGCAAACUGGGACUGCUGGAGUUGCAAGCAGCGUGGUCACAUGAUGCUGUGUUUUAUGACUGAAUCAGUAAUGGCAAUUUCAGUCCUAAUUGUCAUUAAUGGAGGAUAGCUUGGAUACAGCAAGACAGUUUAAGUGGAUACAGAACUUCUUGAAAACUGUAUUUAAAUAGUGCUCAAUUAAUGGAGCCUCAUCAAAUUGGAGAAGGAUAUUAAAUAAAUACCACAAGGAUCA